UACGUAGGGUGCGAGCGUUGUCCGGAAUUAUUGGGCGUAAAGAGCUCGUAGGCGGUUUGUUGCGUCGGCCGUGAAAACCUGCAGCUUAACUGUGGGCCUGCGGCCGAUACGGGCGGACUUGAGUUCGGUAGGGGAGACUGGAAUUCCUGGUGUAGCGGUGAAAUGCGCAGAUAUCAGGAGGAACACCGGUGGCGAAGGCGGGUCUCUGGGCCGAUACUGACGCUGAGGAGCGAAAGCGUGGGGAGCGAACAGG
rnacentral:rRNA from 1 species